rnacentral:rRNA from 1 species
GACGAACGCUGGCGGCGUGCUUAACACAUGCAAGUCGAACGAGACGAUUUAGAAGCUUGCUUUUAUUGAGUCGAGUGGCAAACGGGUGAGUAACGCGUAGACAACCUGCCGCAAAGAUGGGGACAACAGUCCGAAAGGACUGCUAAUACCGAAUGUUGUAUCUCCUCCGCAUGGAAGAGAUAUUAAAGAUGGCCUCUACUUGUAAGCUAUCGCUUUGCGAUGGGUCUGCGUCUGAUUAGCUAGUUGGUGGGCAAACGGGCCUUACCAAGGCGACGAUCAGUAGCCGGUCUGAGAGGAUGAACGGCC